UACGGAGGGGGCUAGCGUUGCUCGGAAUUACUGGGCGUAAAGGGCGCGCAGGCGGAACACAAAGUCAGGCGUGAAAGCCCCGGGCUUAACCUGGGAACUGCGUUUGAUACUUGUGAUCUAGAGUCUCGGAGAGGGUGGUGGAAUUCCCAGUGUAGAGGUGAAAUUCGUAGAUAUUGGGAAGAACACCAGUGGCGAAGGCGGCCACCUGGACGAGUACUGACGCUGAGGCGCGAAAGCGUGGGGAGCAAACAGG
rnacentral:rRNA from 1 species